rnacentral:rRNA from 1 species
UAUUGGUCAAUGGACGCAAGUCUGAACCAGCCAUGCCGCGUGCAGGAUGAAUGCCCUCUGGGUUGUAAACUGCUUUUAUCAGGGAAUAAACCUCUUUACGUGUAGAGAGCUGAAGGUACUUGAUGAAUAAGCACCGGCUAACUCCGUGCCAGCAGCCGCGGUAAUACGGAGGGUGCAAGCGUUAUCCGGAUUUAUUGGGUUUAAAGGGUGCGUAGGCGGGACUGUAAGUCAGGGGUGAAAUACUGCAGCUUAACUGUAGCAUUGCCUUUGAAACUGCCGUUCUUGAGUACAGUUGAGGUAGGCGGAAUGUGGUGUGUAGCGGUGAAAUGCAUAGAUAUACCACAGAACGCCGAUUGCGAAGGCAGCUUACUAAGCUGUUACUGACGCUGAGGCACGAAAGCGUGGGGAUCAAACAGG